UACGGAGGGUGCAAACGUUGCUCGGAAUCAUUGGGCGUAAAGCGCACGUAGGCGGUUUGUUAUGUCGGAUGUGAAAGCCCUUGGCUCAACUGAGGAAGUGCAUCCGAAACUGGCAAGCUAGAGUACUAAAGAGGGUCGCGGAAUUCCCGGUGUAGAGGUGAAAUUCGUGGAUAUCGGGAGGAACACCGGUGGCGAAGGCGGCGACCUGGGUAGAUACUGACGCUGAGGUGCGAAAGCGUGGGGAGCAAACAGG
rnacentral:rRNA from 1 species